UGACGGUUGAGAAUCUUCACCCAUGAAAUAACUGGUUGCCCAGUUUAAUAAUAUAAAAAAAACAAACAAAAGCUUAGGCAAGUCUUCAAUCUUACAUCAUCAUCCACUAGUGCAGAAGCUAUCUGAAUUAGUCAUCUCUUAAACAAAUUCCACUCUACAAUAUCCCAUCCUCUCUUAUCUCUGGUGAGACGUGAGAGGGUUAAAAAGAAAAAAAGGGGGAAAAUCUACAAUAAAAGAAAGAGCACCCAGUCUUUGGUCAUACAAUUGAUCAUUCUCAACUGUUAAUCGUCAAAGAAUGGAACAACUGCAUAGUGCAAUAUGUUAUAGCAAGAUUUGGCCUUUGAUGAGAACUCUAAAAGCGGUGGCAGAGUAUCAAGAACAGUUUAACCAUCAUCAAAUUCUCAAUUCUCCACCCCAUCUAACUGCAUUUCUUGGUACCGGCAUUCUUGACUGCAAAAGGCCUUUUCACCUCUGCAUAAUUACAAAGUGGGGGAAAAGUUAGUCCAAGAGGAAUUAUAGUUUUAACAUAGCAAGUCACUCCAUAAUUACUGGCAAGAUCAAAUGAGAAUGAGGUCUUUGAAAUCCUGAAAACUUAUGAAGGCUUGGUCUAUCUAAUUGAACCCAGUAAUGUCAUCAAAGAAGAGGGAAGGGUCAAACCUGUAAAUGAAAAUGUCAUUUGUCUGUUCCAGAUUCUUCUUGCAUGUGUGACAGAAGCUGAGGAAACUCUUUUGGGCAGCGUUGGACUCAUCUGAUAAAGAACAAUAAUUCUCCAAAACACAGUUGUCAAAUAUAUGAGUGGUUUUUGGAUUAGGACCAUAAGAUAUCACACACGUAUAGUCCUCAGAGAGGACUAUCUCGCUCAUAGAUAUACAUCCUGUGAGCACCCUAGGAGAAGAGUUUGUUUGGAUUCCAGAAUUUGUAGACCCAGAUGCUGCUAAUUGACAAUUCCUAGUUUUAAUUCCAAAAUCAGCUGGGGAUUUAGGUGACUCAGUUGGAGAAAGCAUAAAGUUUGCAAGUGGUGGGAUUUGGACUCUCAGACUGGUUCCAAACAAGACCAUUCUGUUACUGGGUUCAGAAAAAGAGCUAUUGAUCUUUUCGUUGGGUUUUUCAUCAAUAAGCGCAACACCAAUGCCUUUUGAGUCUAAUAUGUCCCAUGAGCGUUGAUUCUCUGAGAAAACUCUUGGGGAUUUAGGUUGGUUCAUGUCAUACCAAAACGGGUUUUUGAAGGGAGAGAGAGAUUUAGUAGAGUCAAGAAUUGAGGUAGGACUAAUCACAGCCUCAGUUUCAGGAAUAGCCUUAAACGUGAAAGCUUCGAACCUUGGAGAACCAAAGAAAGAUGGAGUUGGUUUUGUGUGGUUCUGGAUUGGAGGAGAUUGAGAACUGUGAUCAGUCAUUAAAGCUUGCUUGCUGGUUACUGCUCUAGAUCUAUUCCUCAGCAUAACUUCCUCUGUAUUAGAUAAUUCUCAGCCCCUCCAAAGUCGCUGAGAUUACUGUAGUUAGACUAUGGAAGAGAUGAUCAUAAAUCGUUUCUAGUAAUUGUCACAACUCAGAAACUCACAAGAGCCACCUUUACAGAUUCCGAAGUAGAAUACUAUCCACGCCCCAGACACCAGAAAAGAAAAAAGGAAAAAUUUUUAAACAAAAAAGAAAUCUGACACCGACGCUCACACACACACACUCUUGGGAAAUUGAAAUGCCUCCUAAAUCUCUUUAGCCUCCAUGACUGGGCAAUAAAAAGAAAGAGAAAAGAAAGACUCUGUUGUUCUCUCUAUCUCCGUCUCUUGUUCUAUUCUUUUCCCUUACUCCUUCAACGAGAAAAAGAAUCAAUUCCCAUCACAAUAACCCAUAUGCAAGCCAAAUGAUCAGCAGGCAAUAUGCAGAAGAGCCCUGACAUUUAGGGCAAAAAGAAGAAAAUCUAUAUGGACAAAAAAGGCAAAGGCUUCGGGCAGAAAGGCAGAAAUGGUUAAGUUGUUUUGCCAAUCCCCAUGAAAAAGGAACAAGACCGGAGGGCCAUAAGAUAAGUUAC
rnacentral:misc_RNA from 1 species